UACGUAGGGUGCAAGCGUUAAUCGGAAUUACUGGGCGUAAAGCGUGCGCAGGCGGUUGUGCAAGACCGAUGUGAAAUCCCCGGGCUUAACCUGGGAAUGGCAUUGGUGACUGCACGGCUAGAGUGUGUCAGAGGGGGGUAGAAUUCCACGUGUAGCAGUGAAAUGCGUAGAGAUGUGGAGGAAUACCGAUGGCGAAGGCAGCCCCCCUGGGAUAACACUGACGCUCAUGGCACCGAAAAGCGUGGGGGAGCAAACAGG
rnacentral:rRNA from 1 species